CCUACCGUACACCACACGGACCUUAUCCCCUUUCUUCUCCACCGAAACAGAAAUCGCUCCCGUGCUCUUCUCCACACACCACGGCAAAAACUCCAUGGAUCCACACCUCUUCCCAUCUCCUUUUAAUCCUGCCUCAUGUGCCGUCUGCUCCUCGCGCAGGCCGUCGAGCUAAUUUUUGCCAGCGGGAGUGCCGUUUCCUAUUUCUCACUGCUUUUCUUGUGUGCAGGGACGCGCGGAGCGGUCACCGCCUGUGCCACGAGCCGGCGACGUGUUGCUGCUACGAGCGGUGACCGACGAGGUGCGGGGGUGCUCCAACUGCAUGCACGCAAAGCUGGGACCGGCGUUCCGAGGUGCUACAACCGGCAUGCGGCCAUGCUACAAUCAAAGCGCGGCGGCGACGGCCACUACCGGCGAUUUGCUACAACCGCGGUGUCGACAGCUGCAAUCGGUGACAAGAAAUGCUACAACCGGCCAUCUAUUUGCUGGAACCGGUAUCAGUUUUUGCUGCCGUCGGCCAGCGAUUUGCUGGAACCAGAUGCGUGCUGAUCGUCGACGUGCGAUUAUUGCUGGAACCAGUUUUUUGCUGGACACCGACUACCGCGGCGAGCCGGAGGUGGACCGCGGCGAGCCGGAGGCGGGGCUACGCUAGGGAUGCUGCAACCAUGGCACCCGCGAGCUGGAUCUGGUUGUUUUUAGAGCUUCAUCCUCAAUGAAUCGCCUCUGGAAUCAAUGGCGGCAGUUAUGCAAUUCCGGCGGCCAAGGGGCGGGACCUCGUGGGAGCUCGCGGGAACGGCCACAACGGCGACGAGGAUGGGUGGUGGUGGUGUGCCCGUGGAGAGUGUGUGGAUCGUCUUGUUUUUCUGUCGAGCAGUGCGAAGAAGAAGACGACACAGAUGGGUCAAAUCCAACAGCUACGCAUAAUUGAUCGGGUGGCUGUGCGUCGACCGGCCCAUAAUUUAGGCCGGUGCGCCGGCGCCUAGCACUGCCC